CAAUUACUCCUUCCGUCCGGAAAUAUUUGUCAUUAAAAUGAAUAAAAAAAGAUAUAUCUACAUGUAUUUUAGUUCUAUAUACAUCUUUUUCUGUUCAUUUUGAUCACAAGUAUUUUUGGACCGAGGGAGUAUCUG
rfam:Triticum aestivum genome assembly, contig: Triticum_aestivum_CS42_TGACv1_scaffold_424294_5BS